rnacentral:rRNA from 1 species
UAGGGAAUAUUCCGCAAUGGGCGAAAGCCUGACGGAGCGACACCGCGUGAAUGACGAAGUCUUUCGGGAUGUAAAGUUCAGUCGGUUGGGGAAGAAGGGCCUUUAUACGAAUAAUAUGAAGGAAGAGACGGUACCCAAAAUGAAGCCACGGCUAAUUACGUGCCAGCAGCCGCGGUAAUACGUAAGUGGCGAGCGUUAUCCGGAAUCACUGGGUGUAAAGGGUGUGUAGGCGGCGAUGUAAGAUUCAUAUAUAAUGAUAGGGCUCAACCCUGUUUUUGUGUGAAAGACUGCAUUGCUCGAGUGACGAAGAGGAAACUAGAACUCCAGGUGUAGCGGUGAAAUGUGUAGAUAUCUGGGGGAAUACCAAUGGCGAAGGCAGGUUUCUGGUUGUCAACUGACGCUGAGACACGAAAGCGUGGGGAUCAAACG